UCUAAUUGUUCGUAUUCAGUAUGGUCUAAUAUGUGAAUAAUCUAGUAUUUGUCUUAUGACCUGCCUGUAGAAACAUAUAGAUAUAAACUGUGUCUAUGUAUGCACCUAUUUGUUGAUACCUCAGUUUUCAGCUUUUUACAGUUAAAAACCUUUGUAAUAGCAGGGACUUUGGCUACGGAAGUGGCUUUACAUAUGAUAAAACUGCCCUCAUCCAUUUUCAACAAGCAAAUGCAUUUGAGGAAGAGACAGUCCUUUGAUUAUACCCAAUACAGACAACAUCUGUAGUUUGAACAAUUAAGGAUGGCAGCCACUGUUACCUUGAAGUGGUGGAGAGAUAAGAAAUGAAAAUCUUCCUCUUUGCCUCUUUUUCUCUCCAGCCCUCGUCAAAUCCUGUCUCAAAGUUCAAUUAAGCCAGAUUCAUAAUUAAGGAUAUAGCAGAGGGAGACUCCAAAUGGAAUAAUUGUUGCCCCUUGUGAGAUUUAAUAGCUUCACCUCAGUCAUCACAACCAACAUCCAGCAGAAGGGUGGAUUAGAUGCCUGGGAGGCCAAUUUCGGAAGUUUUGGAGGGAGAGGAAGAAAAUGGCAGGUACCAAGGAGAAUGUAAAGGAUAUGGCCAUUUUUGUGAGUUUUAGGAGAAAGACGUGCCCUAAAAUUUAAAAAUGUCUUCUAUUUCAUAAAGCGCUAGGUUCGCUGGCUGAACCUUUCGUUCAGCCAAAAUCUUUCUUUCGUUCGGUGCUACCUCAUCCUUCUGGACCCAGAGAGUGUUCUCCACUCAAACCUCUCCACGGUUAAAUUCACCCUCUGCUCCAGACAGCUUUUCUACUUAUUGCUCUAUAAUAGUGGCUGGAAGAACUUUAUCCAUCGCCCGGUAUUAUCAGAUACCAGACUUCCGGGACUAAGGACAGUGUCUGUUUCAAGUAUUAGUAGAUCCUGGCUAACAAGGAGUGGCCGUUGGAUACAAGUUCCCACAGCUACAAGGGCUGACUGAAAACAGCUCCAGGUCCCUUGCCCCAGGUGCCUGUCAUCACUGUGGGCAGGGUGACCUCUGAGCGACCCUCCGGGACAGGAUGGAUGCCAGGGGCUUCAUACCUUCCUCUCACCACGCAGCGUAGUCCACCUGACUCGUUGGGGGACCCUGAGUGAUAUUCAUUUCAGGGCCGGCAAUGCGACCGAGGCGCGGAGCACAAGUGGGACCUCUGGAAACUUCCCAGCCCCGAGGGGCUCUCAGUUCGGCCUCGGCGACACCAACAUCCUCCCGCCCCUCCCGUAGUUGAGUUGAGUCCUCCUCCCCAUCCCAGCGCCCCUUCCUAGUCCGAGACCCCUCCAAAUUUGAGAGCACUUUUCGGUCCCAGUGCCCUUCCCCGGGGGCCCUUUCCCCUCCCUGAGCUCCUUUCCCCGUUUCUUGUCCUACUUCCGAGCUCCCGUCCAUAACCCUCAUCCCAGUCCAAGCCUCUCUUCACAGUGGGAGCUCCCUGCCCUCAACUGGAGUCUGACCUGAGCUGAGCUCCUCAGAAGCGUCCGCGGCCAGCGCCCGCAAGCCAAGUGCAGCGGCAGGUGGCGGAGCAGGUGCAGGAGCAGGCGGCCAGCUGUGGGCCCCGCCCGCGGACGUGGGCUCUCUCCACCCUUGAUCGCCCUUCCCCGCACCUGCCAGCUCAUAGGACCUCCAGUCGCCGGAACUGCACUUCCCUCCGUUCCUUCCUACCAUCUGGUCCGAAGGUAUUCCCUAAGGUGUGUUUCACCAGGAGCGGGUUCCUGGGUGGACUGUGUCGGACUGUAACCUUCUACAAUGCAAAAGAAUCACAAAGCCUGAGAGACAGCGAGAACUCAGAGGGUAUGGAAGCCAGCUUCCCAGGACAAGCAACCACUGCAAACACACUGGAAGCCAGCCGAGAACCAGAAUCAAGUUUCUUUUUCUGGGUAAAACUUGAUAGUUAACUUUGAGUGUCACAUAGUUCGCUCUUUCAUUCACUCCAUGCAUUAAUUCAUUCAACAAAUCUGCCACGUGCUCAUCUAACAACAAAUCUGACAGACGGACACAGUUCUGUGUGCUCAAAGGGGACAGAGUUUCUGCCCUGGGAGGAGCUUCCUUUCUACGGAGGGAUAUGGGCAUGGCGACGCUGAGCCAAUCUUGGACCACGGUGGCUAAACAUUAUGGACCAAUGGUAAAAUAUGUGGAUGAAAGAAGACUGGAUUAUUGGAUGAUCUCAUGCAGUAGCCUCUGCAUUAGUCCUAUAAUGUCUACCUCCAAUCUGUUCCACAAAGAAUAAAGUUUGUUACAUGAAGCUAAA